rnacentral:rRNA from 1 species
GAUGAACGCUGGCGGCGUGCCUAAUACAUGCAAGUCGAGCGAACGGACGAGAAGCUUGCUUCUCUGAUGCUAGCGUCGUACGGGUGAGUAACACGUGGAUAACCUACCUAUAAGACUGGGAUAACUUCGGGAAACCGGAGCUAAUACCGGAUGAUAUUUUGAACCGCAUGGUUCAAAAGUGAAAGACUGUCUUGCUGUCACUUAUAGAUGGAUCCGCGCUGCAUUAGCUAGUUGGUAAGGUAACGGCUUACCAAGGCAACGAUGCAUAGCCGACCUGAGAGGGUGAUCGGCCACACUGGAACUGAGGCACGGUCCAGACUCCUACGGGAGGCAGCAGUAGGGAAUCUUCCGCAAUGGGCGAAAGCCUGACGGAGCAACGCCGCGUGAGUGAUGAAGGUCUUCGGAUCGUAAAACUCUGUUAUUAGGGAAGAACAUAUGUGUAAGUAACUGUGCACAUCUUGACGGUACCUAAUCAGAAAGCCACGGCUAACUACGUG